GCGGGAGUAGCACAAUGGUAGUGCAAUAGCCUUCCAAGCUAUCUACGUGGGUUCGAUUCCCAUCUCCCGCUCCA
rnacentral:tRNA from 1 species